rnacentral:rRNA from 1 species
AUACGGAGGGUGCAAGCGUUGUUCGGAAUCACUGGGCGUAAAGGGCGCGCAGGCGGUUUGGUAAGUCAGAUGUGAAAGCCCACGGCUCAACCGUGGAAGUGCAUUUGAAACUGUCAGACUUGAGUACUCGAGGGGAAAGUGGAAUUCCCGGUGUAGAGGCGAAAUUCGUAGAUAUCGGGAGGAAUACCGGUGGCGAAGGCGACUUUCUGGCUAGAUACUGACGCUGAGGCGCGAAAGCGUGGGGAGCAAACAGAAUUAGAUACCCUAGUAGUCC